GAAAACGUAGUUAAAUGGUUAUGACAUUGGAUUACUGAUUGGAAAGUUAUGAGUUCAAAUCCCAGUGCUUACA